UAGUGACGUAAGGAAAGGCCCCGCCUCCUAUCGUCGUUUUGUUCUGGAAGCUUCAGCCGCCGGGUUGUGACAGCUGCGCAGUAUCCGCCUCCAUCCUCCCUUGUCUCCGGUGCGCUUCCGUUAAAGCAUCGUCCGCAGAUAUCAAUUGGCACUGCCCGAGCUAAAGUAGUCACAAUGUUGCAGAGUUCUGUGCCCAAAGCAUCAGCCUCAGCGGGCGGAGGGGCAGGGAACUGGAAGGGCGCCUACCAGGACAGGGACAAGCCGGCGCAGAUUCGCUACAGCAACAUCGCUGCGGGCAAAGCUGUUGCUGAAGCUGUCAGAACCAGUCUGGGACCAAAGGGCAUGGACAAAAUGAUUCAGGACGGAAAAGGAGAUGUGACCAUUACAAAUGAUGGAGCAACUAUUUUGAAACAGAUGCAGGUUUUGCACCCAGCAGCCAAAAUGCUUGUUGAGUUAUCUAAAGCUCAAGACAUUGAAGCAGGAGACGGAACAACCUCGGUUGUAGUUAUUGCUGGAGCCCUGCUGGAUGCAUGCGCCAAGCUUCUGCAGAAAGGUAUACAUCCCACCACCAUUUCAGAAUCCUUCCAGUUGGCCUCAGAGAAGGGUGUAGAAGUUCUUAACAGUAUGUCCCAGCCUGUUGAAUUAAGUGACAGAGAAACACUUUUGAACAGUGCAACAACAUCCCUGAACUCAAAGGUUGUGUUCCAGUACUCGAGUUUACUUGCUCCAAUGAGUGUGGAUGCAGUAAUGAAGGUGAUUGAUCCACAGACAGCCAACAGUGUGGAUCUUAGAGACAUAAAAAUUGUCAAGAAAUUUGGAGGAACCAUUGAUGAUUGUGAACUAGUUGAUGGCCUUGUGCUCACACAGAAAGUGUCAAAUACUGGAGUAACCCGGGUUGAGAAAGCCAAGAUCGGGCUGAUUCAGUUCUGCUUGUCAGCACCAAAAACAGAUAUGGACAAUCAGAUUGUGGUUUCAGACUAUGCUCAGAUGGACAGAGUUCUGCGGGAGGAACGGACAUACAUCCUUAACCUGGUGAAACAAAUCAAGAAAGUGGGUUGCAAUGUGCUUCUCAUUCAGAAGUCCAUUUUAAGGGAUGCUCUAAGUGAUCUUGCUUUACACUUCCUGAAUAAGAUGAAAAUAAUGGUGAUAAAAGAUAUUGAGAGAGAAGAUAUUGAGUUCAUAUGUAAGACCAUUGGAGCCAAACCAGUUGCGCAUAUAGACCAGUUUACUGCUGACAUGCUGGCAUCUGCUGAACUUGCUGAAGAAGUUAGUCUGAACGGUUCUGGAAAACUAGUUAAGAUAACUGGCUGUGCCAACCCUGGAAAAACUGUUACAAUAGUAGUACGUGGUUCCAACAAAUUGGUCAUUGAGGAAGCAGAACGUUCCAUUCAUGAUGCUCUUUGUGUUAUACGUUGCUUAGUUAAGAAAAAAGCUCUUAUAGCUGGAGGCGGUGCCCCUGAGAUUGAACUAUCCCUGCGUUUGAAUGAGUAUUCUCGAGCACUGAGUGGCAUGGAGUCCUACUGUAUUCGAGGCUUUGCAGAUGCCUUGGAGGUUAUUCCUUUCACACUGGCUGAAAAUGCUGGACUCAAACCCAUAUCCACUGUAACGGAACUGAGAAACAGACAUGCACAGGGUGAAAAAACAGCUGGAAUUAAUGUCCGAAAGGUAAAAUCAUUUGCAGAUGCCUCUGACUGUGCUGUUCGGAUUCUUUUUUUACAAUUCAAAAUUUAUUUUACUUUUACAGGGAGGAAUUUCCAAUAUUUUGGAGGAACUUGUUGUCCAGCCUUUAUUGGUAUCUAUUAGCUCCCUUACUCUGGCUACAGAGACUGUGCGCAGUAUUCUCAAGAUUGAUGAUGUGGUGAACGCACGAUAAACUUCGUAAACGCAAUUUUGUGGCCGAAUAUGUGUUCAGCUUUUUGGAAAAAUAAACUAAGGCAACCACUGUGGAGAUCAAAGCUUUGCUACUAUUAUGCAUUAUUCGACUGCUUGUCAGCACUUAACUUAAUAAAAUUGUUACUGUUGUAAUGGU